rnacentral:rRNA from 1 species
AACGAACGCUGGCGGCAUGCCUAACACAUGCAAGUCGAACGAUCCCUUCGGGGUUAGUGGCGCACGGGUGCGUAACGCGUGGGAACCUGCCCUUAGGUUCGGUAUAACUCAGAGAAAUUUGAGCUAAUACCGGUUAAUGUCUUCGGACCAAAGAUUUCUCGCUUUUGGAUUGGCCCUCGUUGGCUUUGCUAGUUGUUGGGGGAACGGCUUGCCAAAGCGACGAUGCAUAGCUGGUCUGAGAGGAUGAUCAGCCACACUGGGAAUGAGACACGGCCCAGACUGGUAAGGAAGGCAGCAGGGGGGAAUAUUGGACAAGGGGAGAAAGUCUAAACAAGCAGUGCAGGGUGAGAGAUGAAGGGCUUAGGGUUGUAAAGCAGGUUUACCCGGGAUGAUAAUGACAGUACCGGGGGAAUAAGCCACGGCUAAAUCAGUG